rnacentral:rRNA from 1 species
CACGUAGGGUGCGAGCGUUGUCCGGAAUUAUUGGGCGUAAAGAGCUCGUAGGCGGUGUGUCGCGUCGGCCGUGAAAACCUGCAGCUUAACUGUGGGCUUGCGGUCGAUACGGGCAUCACUGGAGUUCGGCAGGGGAGACUGGAAUUCCUGGUGUAGCGGUGGAAUGCGCAGAUAUCAGGAGGAACACCGGUGGCGAAGGCGGGUCUCUGGGCAGGUAACUGACGCUGGAGGAGCGAAAGCGUGGGGAGCGAACAGG